rnacentral:rRNA from 1 species
AGAUUGAACGCUGGCGGCAGGCCUAACACAUGCAAGUCGAGCGCGAAAGUUUCUUCGGGAAUGAGUAGAGCGGCGGACGGGUGAGUAACGCGUGGGAAUUUGCCCAGUAGUGGGGGACAACUCGGGGGAAACUCGAGCUAAUACCGCAUACGCCCUAUGGGGGGAAAGCAGGGGAUCUUCGGACCUUGCGCUAUUGGGUAAGCCCGCGUCGGAUAGCUAGUUGGUAGGGUAAAGCCUACCAAGGCGACGAUCCGUAGCUGGUCUGAGAGGAUGAUCAGCCACACUGGGACUGAGACACGGCCCAGACUCCGUACGGGAGGCAGCAGGUGGGGAAUAUUGGACAAGUGGGGGCAACCCUGAUCCAGCCAUGCCGCGUGUG